rnacentral:rRNA from 1 species
GGGAUAACUACUGGAAACGGUAGCUAAUACCGCAUAACGUCGCAAGACCAAAGAGGGGGACCCUCGGGCCUCUUGCCAUCGGAUGUGCCCAGAUGGGAUUAGCUUGUUGGUGGGGUAACGGCUCACCAAGGCGACGAUCCCUAGCUGGUCUGAGAGGAUGACCAGCCACACUGGAACUGAGACACGGUCCAGACUCCUACGGGAGGCAGCAGUGGGGAAUAUUGCACAAUGGGCGCAAGCCUGAUGCAGCCAUGCCGCGUGUAUGAAGAAGGCCUUCGGGUUGUAAAGUACUUUCAGCGGGGAGGAAGGGAGUAAAGUUAAUACCUUUGCUCAUUGACGUUACCCGCAGAAGAAGCACCGGCUAACUCCGUGCCAGCAGCCGCGGUAAUACGGAGGGUGCAAGCGUUAAUCGGAAUUACUGGGCGUAAAGCGCACGCAGGCGGUUUGUUAAGUCAGAUGUGAAAUCCCCGGGCUCAACCUGGGAACUGCAUCUGAUACUGGCAAGCUUGAGUCUCGUAGAGGGGGGUAGAAUUCCAGGUGUAGCGGUGAAAUGCGUAGAGAUCUGGAGGAAUACCGGUGGCGAAGGCGGCCCCCUGGACGAAGACUGACGCUCAGGUGCGAAAGCGUGGGGAGCAAACAGGAUUAGAUACCCUGGUAGUCCACGCCGUAAACGAUGUCGACUUGGAGGUUGUGCCCUUGAGGCGUGGCUUCCGGAGCUAACGCGUUAAGUCGACCGCCUGGGGAGUACGGCCGCAAGGUUAAAACUCAAAUGAAUUGACGGGGGCCCGCACAAGCGGUGGAGCAUGUGGUUUAAUUCGAUGCAACGCGAAGAACCUUACCUGGUCUUGACAUCCACGGAAGUUUUCAGAGAUGAGAAUGUGCCUUCGGGAACCGUGAGACAGGUGCUGCAUGGCUGUCGUCAGCUCGUGUUGUGAAAUGUUGGGUUAAGUCCCGCAACGAGCGCAACCCUUAUCCUUUGUUGCCAGCGGUCCGGCCGGGAACUCAAAGGAGACUGCCAGUGAUAAACUGGAGGAAGGUGGGGAUGACGUCAAGUCAUCAUGGCCCUUACGACCAGGGCUACACACGUGCUACAAUGGCGCAUACAAAGAGAAGCGACCUCGCGAGAGCAAGCGGACCUCAUAAAGUGCGUCGUAGUCCGGAUUGGAGUCUGCAACUCGACUCCAUGAAGUCGGAAUCGCUAGUAAUCGUGGAUCAGAAUGCCACGGUGAAUACGUUCCCGGGCCUUGUACACACCGCCCGUCACACCAUGGGAGUGGGUUGCAAAAGAAGUAGGUAGCUUAACCUUCGGGAGGGCGCUUACCACUUUGUGAUUCAUGACUGGGGUGAAGUCGUAACAAGGUAACCGUAGGGGAACCUGCGGUUG